rnacentral:rRNA from 1 species
GACGAACGCUGGCGGCGUGCUUAACACAUGCAAGUCGAACGAAGUGGCGUACGGGUGAGUAACGCGUAAUCAACUUGCCCUUCAGAGGGGGACAACAGUUGGAAACGACUGCUAAUACCGCAUACUGAAGGAGGGGAUUGCGUCUGAUUAGCUAGUUGGAGGGGUAACGGCCCACCAAGGCGAUGAUCAGUAGCCGUGCUGGGAGGAGGAACGGCCAAAUUAGGACGGAAACACGGCCAAGACUGCUACGGGAGGCAGCAGUGGGGAAGCUUCCGCAAUGGACGAAAGUCUGACGGAGCAACGCGGCGUGAGUGAUGACGGCCUUCGGGUUGUAAAGCUCUGUUAAGCGGGACGCGGUACCGGAAUAGGAAGCCACGGCUAACUACGUGCCAGCAGCCGCGGUAAUAC